CACGUAGGGCGCAAGCGUUGUCCGGAAUUAUUGGGCGUAAAGAGCUCGUAGGCGGUCUGUUGCGUCCGCUGUGAAAUCUCGGGGCUUAACCCCGAGCCUGCAGUGGAUACGGGCAGACUAGAGGUAGGUAGGGGAGAAUGGAAUUCCCGGUGUAGCGGUGAAAUGCGCAGAUAUCAGGAGGAACACCGAUGGCGAAGGCGGCUCGCUGGGACGGUACUGACGCUGAGACGCGAAAGCGUGGGGAGCGAACAGG
rnacentral:rRNA from 1 species